GGGGGUAUAGCUCAGUUGGUAGAGCGCUGCCUUUGCAAGGCAGAUGCCAGCGGUUCGAGUCCGCUUACCUCCACCCCCC
rnacentral:tRNA from 1 species